CGUCGCGCCGCCGCCGGCUCUGGUCGCCUCCACCUCCGCUCCAGGCAACCCUCGGUCGCCGGCUCGCUGGAGCACGACGGCAGACGAUGGAUGCCUGGUUGUGUGCGACGGAUGCAGUUCUCACGCGCAAGCUAGGGUUGGAGCCGCCAGCUCUUCAUCCUGCCCGCCGGCGGCGAGUCUUCCCGUCCCGUACUGCCGCCUCCCCGUUAUCACAGGUAUCUCCACCCCUUCCUCUUUCCCCCUCUUCUCUCCUCUCCCUUCUCCCUCCUCCAUCUCUGUUCCCUUCCCCCUCCCACCCCGUUAUCUGUUCAUGUUGUUGGCACCUGAAGAAGUUGGUGGCAUGGUGAAGCCCCUGAGCAAAAGUUGCAGGAGUCUUUGAAGGAGUUGGAGAAGUCUUAAACCUGAGUCCGAAUCCAAUUUCGUGGGAACAAGCAUAUAUUCCAUGAAUUUUCCAUUAGAUUCAGUGGACAGGUUCAUCUGGUCCUUUACUCCUCACAUAAUAACUGUGAAACUUAAUGAGGAACUUCUGAAAAAUGCUUCCUCCCCUCUGAUGUCUAUUUGGUUACUUAUGCUUGUGUGGUCUGGUUGUUCCUAAGUGCUUUCGGACAUUAUUAUUUGUGUGAUCAGCAUUGAGUAGAUUGCCUGCAGCAAGAUAACUUGAGUUUUGUUACUUAAGUAAACGAUAUGUAAAUAGCUCUAAGUUAACUGGACAUUUUGUCGCAUUGGCUUGAAUCUGCAUGUUGCAUCAUUUGUGCACAAUGAAAACUGUAUGAACCUGCAUUGGAUGGUGUAUUUGUAGGAAGGUUAUCCUUUCUUCAAGGACUGGAAGUUUCCUGGUAAGUGUUCCUUUUUCUUAAAAACUCUGUGUUUGUUCGCUGUAAUAUUUUGUUUACAUCAGGUUUCUCUUUCCUUUUGUGGGCAUAAUGGGCGAGACAAUAAUAUUCAGAAAGUUGUUGUUUUAGGGAAACUGCUAACUCCAUAUGUCAGACCCAUAUCAUUGUUGAGCAUGCAUAGUGUUCCUAUGUCAUUUCUAUGAUGUAUUUGUUUCCUUUUAUAUCACAGUAGUCUUCAUUUUGGCCAUGUACCUUCAAACUGAACCAAAAAUGGUUUGUCUGAUGACAUGUUUGAGGAGAUUCUUGAUAUGAAACAGUACAUAUGAGGGUGACCGUUUUUUUGCAAGUUUUGUCCGUGGAAUCUUUUUGCAGUUGAUAAGACAUGGGCUGGACUUACUUCCGAUCUGCAAUAUUUUCGGUAAAGUGAUUCAAGGAAACAAACAUCCACUGUGUCAAUCACUCAAGAUGGUGCAUGCAGUUUUCCUGAAAGUUAAGUCUGAGAGCCUGCUCCUACAUAAAGCUGGGUGACGGGACGACGGCCAAUUUCUGGGAGGACAAAUGGUUGCCGGGUGGGCGUUCCGUCUAAGACCUGGCGCCAACACUGCUCACUUUUGUGCCCAAGAGCACAACUAGUCAUCUAUGGUUUGGAUGGGGCUGGGUUCCUACAACGACGGCAACAGAGGCGACAAACACCACUUUGCAACCUCGCCGAACUGUGUUGCUGAACUGAAGUUUAGGGACAGCAGCAGUUUUACCACCGAUGGUGUUGCAUGUAAGCUGGAUGUUCUCAUUGUUCUGUUGGCUCUGAUAGGGUGAGUUCUUCCCUAUUUCCUUUUUUGAUGCCUCCGUAUGCUCAACCUAUUAUGGUUUUAGUUGUAGUGUGAAUGUUUUAUAGUUUAUAUUUUUUGUGUGUUCUCUGGCAGUGUGUAUGCUAUGAAGUUAAGGUUCUUAAGAUUAAUGAUGUUUAUAGAAGGUAGAUACAGUUUUAUCAUUCAUUCAUGAUCAUAUUUGGCCUCUCUUAGUGGCCAGUCUAUGGUAAAUCUAAUAGUUGCUCUUGAUAGUGAUGCAGGAUGUGAGGUACAACUAUCAAAGUGACAUUAAUUUUGGUUGUGAUUCCUAUCCGCAGCCUCUUCUACACUAGAGAAGGAAAACACUCGACGAUCUGGCUCUGUCUCAGGUAUAUGCUCCCUCGCCCGCAAGAUCCGCUCUCUCCCAUCUACGCAUCGCAACAGCACUUCAGCUCCUCUUGUGGAUUCUCACCAGAUCAGGCCACCUCACUCACCUUCAGGUUUGUAAACAGUCAUCCAUACCAUAGGGUCCAUCGGUGAAACAAAGCCAAUCAUAUGAAUUGAAGGAGCUACUGAAAUAAAGUGGAAAGAACAAAGAGAAAAUUGAAGAUUAUCUAUAUGAACAUUCCGAGAAUGGGAUAGGAGAGGUGGUUCUUCCCAACAGGAAAAAGAGUGGAGCGUCUGUCGUGAUGGACAAAGUUAAGAUCCCAACAAAAAGUGCUUCUUGAUGCUAUGAUGCAGCAACUUAACCUUCCAAAUUACAGUUUACUAAACAGACCUCGCCGGCAGAUCCCUCAGCUAUCAGGGAAGGCAGUCAUCAGCGGAGAUUGAGGGCGCCUCUCCGGCGAGAGUGCUCAUGUCGUGGUGGUUUUCCACCAGCAGCGUGGGGGAGGCGGUGUCCUCUGCAGCUAGGUCUACUUACUGGCGACCUCACCAUCACCAGCCCACCUGCAGAGCAUUUGUAAAGGGCAGUUGAUCUUCUCAUUGGUUUCAUUGGCGUUGUAUGCAAGGUCUCAAAAGGUCUGCUGUUCCUGGAUGAUAGCUGCAUAUGAGGAUGUACGAAGGAUUUGGCUGCGAACUCAAUCAGACCAUUGGAUUGAAGCUGAAGGGGGCAUUGCAAAGAUACGAAGGAAUGGCCUUUCGUUCAUAACCUGGUCAGCUACACAACAUCUGGUCGUACAUGUUUCUGUUGUAGCGGCCCAGUUACGUGGAGAAGAAUGGCAUACGCUGAGGAUUGUGUCAGCUGAUUUUCUAACUCAUGUUUAGCUCAUGGAUUCUCAUUUAUCUCUUCAAUUUACACAAGGAGGUGCAUUAUCAGCUCUUAUGUAUUUUCUUAAUAACCGUUGAUAGGAAUGACAACUAUGUUGAGAUGUGGUAGACCAUUGAAUGACUUUUGGUCCAGAAUGAAAAAUAGAGGCAUAAUUAUUGUAAUUUUGUUGCUGCUAAUUUCUUUCAAACGAA